rnacentral:misc_RNA from 1 species
GGAAGAGGUUUGAAGAGUUUGUAAUGGGGAUUGGUGGAGGAGGAGAUGAACAAAACAUUAUCCGAAGGUAGAUGCUCCAAAAAAUCUUUCUUAAGAUGCAUUUGAUUAAAUUGUGCAUGGUAAUGUAUGAGUUAUUAACCAAAGUUCUUACAAAUAGGUUGAAGAAAAUUUUGCCCAUCAUAGUUGGUCCUACAUAUGCUAUUUUUGUUUUCGGAAAGAAUAUAACAGACAAAUAGUUACUACCUAAAAGUGGUUCACUCAAUGAAAAGGACUAAAGGAAUAAAAAGGGGGUUCAUGGUUAUCAAAGUUGAUAUAAAAAAAGUUUAUGACCUAGUGAGAUGGAAUUUCCUUUUUAAAGCUCUCAUUGAUGCAAGUAUCACUCCAGAGCUUUCUCUAGUAAUUUUGAUUAUAUUUGCUCGAGCUCGACGUAGCUGUUAUGGAAUGGAGGUGCUACAAGGGGAUUUUAGUUGGAGAAAGCUCCUCGACAGGGUGAUUCACUUUCUCCUUAUCUAUUUGUUUAGGUUAUAGAGUGGUUAGCACAUGGCAAUGAGAGAGUAGUUCAAGACGAAAAUUGGAAGCCGAGUAAUAGCACAAGGGAGGGCCUUUGCUUACACAUUUGUUUUUCACAAAUGACUUAUCACUCUUUGUAAAAAGCGUCAAAUGAGUAAGAUAGCAUCCUAGAGGAGUUCUAUAAUUGCUCAAGUUAGCAAGUGAGUUUAAUUACUCAAAUUUUU